UGACAACUUCAGAAAACGUAAACAACUAAACAUUACAAUUCACGAACACUAUUUUGGGACAGUGUUUAUUGUUCUGUGUGCUAGGCAUUACAUCCGUAGUCAGCGUAAACUGCUAAAGUUUUAGCUGAACUAUGGCGGAAGAUUUUUUAGCUGAUAACAAUUUAUGUGGUCAGACUCUUCUACGCUUAGUGUCGCGAGGCCAUGCAAUCAUAGCCGAAUUGCUACGUCUGAAGGAUUUCAUUCCACCGAUUUUUCAGUCUGAUCAAAAUAAGUACCAGGAAAUUAUAUUGGAUUUUCGAUAUUUCAAAGAACAGGAUGCAUUUGAUUCAAAAAUUAAUGGAAAUGAUCUCCUGAUGGAAUUAGAUGAGGAAUUGCGUAAAAAUUACAUAGAGAUUCUGACCAGGUUUUAUCUAGCAUUUGAAAGUGUUCACAAGUAUGUUUGUGACCUAAAUGGUUUCCUCCAUGAAGUUGAAGAAGGCAUGUACAUUCAACAAACUCUUGAAACAGUUUUCUUGAAUGAUGAGGGAAAGCAGCUAAUGUGUGAGGCACUUUACCUAUAUGGCAUUAUGCUGUUAGUCACUGACACUCACAUAGAUGGGCCUGUUAGGGAGCGCAUGCUAGUCUCCUACUAUAGAUAUUCUGUACAAAGAACCCAUUCUUAUUCAAAGUUAGAUGAAGUAUGUCAACUGUUGCGCUCUACAGGAUUUUUGAAAUCUCAGCCAGGAAAGAGACCUCAAAAUUAUCCAGAAGAAUACUUUAGACGCAUUUCCAUUGUUCCAGUUUAUUUGGAUGUUGUAAUAGGUCAUUUGAGAUCAGAUGACAUCUACCACCAAAUUGCGACACAUCCACAUCCUGAUCACCGAAGUACGGCCCUUGCUCAGCAAGCUGCUAUGCUCGUGAUUUGCCUUUACUUUACACCCGACAUUCUACACAACCAAACAGCAAAAAUGAGAGAAAUCGUUGACAAAUUCUUUCCAGACAACUGGGUUACUAGCGUGUACAUGGGUUUAAUCUUCAACUUGGUUGAAGUAUGGGAGCCUUACAAAGCUGCACGUAUGGCACUAAGCAAUACAAUCCAGGCCGCAAAUGUGAAAGAGUGCUCAAUCAAACAUUGCAACCAAAUGGAACAACUUAUAAAGCAUUUGCGUCAGUUACUUAAAGAAGGGGUAUUGACAGAAGAAUUCCUUUUGGACAAUAUGCAAAAGCUGAUCAAUUUAAUCCGACAAUCGAACGUUACUUUACGCUGGAUGCUCUUACACACCAAUACGUUAGCUGCUGGUGCAGAAUCGCUAAAAAAAUGCCGGCAAGUACGAGACCAAGUUCUUCUCGAUACGAAAUAUCAGCCAGUUACGGUUUUCGAAUUACUGCUCGACUGCGCGGAACUCGAAUUGAAUGUCCGAGAAACGUUCAGAGUUCUAUUGACCGAGAAACGUGCUAAAUGGCUCCUAUGCAAAAAGGAAUGUAUAGAACGACUGACAGAGUUAGCGGACGUUUUCAGUGGGGCAAAGCCAUUAAGCCGAGUCGAAAAAAAUGAGAGUCUUCAGUUAUGGCUUCGUGAGAUCGCCCAACAAGUAGAAGCAUUGAACUAUGAAGAAGGCACAGCUUCCGGCCGUAAAAUGGUUCAGCUAAUUUCUGCUCUCGAAGAAGUUCAAGAAUUUCAUCAGUUGGAUUCACAGUUGCAAGUAAAGCAAUUUUUGACGGAAACCCGUCGUCAACUGCAUCAUAUGAUACGCACCGCAAACAUUCGUGAAGAUUUUUUGAUCACUCUGCAAAUAGUUUCUGAUUUAAGCUAUGCCUGGCUAAUAAUUGAUUCUUACACUGGCCACAUGCAAACGGCAAUACGAAAAGAUCCAACUCUUGUUGGUCGUCUGAGAGCAACAUUUUUGAAAUUAUCUUCCGCUUUGGAUUUGCCUUUGAUGCGGAUAAACCAAGCACGAAGCGCUGAUUUGGUUUCCGUAUCACAAUACUACUCCACCGAACUCGUCUCCUACAUUCGCCAUGUCUUACAUAUAAUUCCCCAAUCCAUGUUUGCACUAGUCGAGCAGAUUGUACAGCUUCAGACAAACGUUAUCAAAGAGAUGCCCAUGAGAUUGGAUAAGGACAAACUGAAGGAUUACGCACAGCUCGAUCAGCGAUUUCAAGUUGCCAAGCUAACAGAAUCCGUUUCUACGUUCACCGAAGGUAUCUUAGCUAUGAAAACAACUUUAGUUGGCAUUGUCCGUCUUGAUCCAAAGCGACUAUUGGAAGAGGGUAUACGCCGGGAAUUGGUACGCAGAAUGGCAAAGGCAAUGCACGACUCGCUCUCUUUCAAUGCCAAAUCCAAAAACAGUGAUCUCGCCCUUAAACUAACCAGUUUAGGCGAAACCAUGGAAGGUCUCCGGAAAUCCUUUGAGUACAUUCAAGACUAUGUGCGAAUUCAGGGUCUUCGUAUGUUUCAAGAGGAAACAGCACGAAUCGUGGGGUACAAUGUCGAGCAAGAAUGUAAUACAUUUCAAACUGACCACAUUCAAGAUUGGCAGAGUAAAUUCCAGUCCACCGCUGUGCCAAUUCCUCGGCUUCCUUCCAAUGAUCCUCAUUCGGCAACGUUCAUUGGGCGACUAGCCCGGGAAAUUCUUCGUAUCACCGAUCCCAAGACAACAAUCUUUGUUCUCUCCACAAACACUUGGUAUGACAGUAAAUCGCAAGCUGAAGUAUUGAACUUUCUACUGUUCUCCCAGCUUGAACAAGCUCUAAGUACAUCGGGAUUGGCUGGAUUAGACACUCUUUUUGCCUUUAUGAUCACCACUGAAUUAACGAACCUUUUUAGUGAUUUAAAGAAAGAAGUUUUCCGCCAUCAAGAUUCUUUGGAAGUUCUUGCAGAGUUUGAUCAUCUAACCGCACCCACAACAGCAAUUCUCGGCCAGCCAAGUAAAACAUAUGGAGCUUACUGCACGCGUUUCCAAAAGUCUUUUCAGACGCUCCUCGAUCGUGUGCUGAAAAUUGGCCAACUACAGCUGCUGAGGCGAUCGUGCUCACAACAACUAAAAUCAACCGCAUCGUUCGAUUCCGGACUUCUUUGGCAAGCAUUGGAAACUCUCAGCUUAUCAGUAGUAAACGACGUGGUGCGUCGCGACAAAACCUCGAGUUCGAUUUCCACGUCAUUGCUUCCCGAGUUGGCAGAGUAUUUACAUUGGUCGGGCCUCUAUGAGCCAUUCGAGAAGAUUUACGUUGCUACACAUAGUCUCGAGUUACCCUACAUACCUCAUUUAUUGCUUUUGUUUAUCGUGUCGAACUUACACAAGUUUACGUAUAGCAAACAACUUGCUAGUCUAGUGUCGAAACGCCCUCAGGACGGCGUGGACGGCACACCCUUUGUGAUCGGAAGUGCUACAUUGUUUCGUCACCUGGGCUCUGCUAGCACACAGGCAUGCUGCAGUCUCUUAAUCCAAUUUGCUCGUUCUCACUUGGAGUUUGGAGCGAGCAAUAAAGAGAAUCUUAUGGAAAUUCCAAGCGAAAGCGGAACUACACUGGCGUUGCUGGAGCAAUGGGAGAAGUGUGGAUUGAUUAGCCGUGCCUUUUUAAACAGUCUACUCAACGAAGGUGUUUGGUCGCUAUAUAAAACGUCGAUGGCGUGAUAAAGCUUUGUGUGGCCUUUAGUUGUUUUGCAUAAUGGAAAAGUGUCGCAGUUGUAUUGGUUGACUUUAGUCAGUUAGCGGCGUGCUGCCGAGUAACAUUCACGUUCUUUGCGGAAUGGAAUCAUAGGCUCCUUCCGGUUGUUAGGCUUCGUUCCCUUCGUGUAAACCAAUUUGCCACAGCCUGCUCGCAUAGUCAAUGCUUUGAAAACAAACCAUUCACUCAAAGUCAGUACGAGGGAUGGAAUACGAUCAAAUCGCAUGUGUGCUGGAGUUGACCGCCCUGGUUUUCUAUGGAUUCCUUAUCCUUGGUCUGGCUUUGUAUUGGCCUAACGAAGCCAAUGUGUACCUGUUAUUUUUUUGCUUUUCAAAUGGCAUUUUAGCCCUUGUCGGUGCAUACAAUCCAAAAGAAGACUGUGAACUUUGCCGGUGGAAUGGCAUCCUGACUCUGUUCUCUUUGACAUUGGGAUUUGAUUCGUUAUACCGAAGUCAAAUCGGAAGGAAGCGUAUGGCUGAGCAUCAAUUCAGGCUCUAUGAAAACCGACCCGUGCACAUGGUAAUUAUGAGAACCUGGAUUGUUUCUACAAUAUCAUCUUUAGCAGCAUGGAACCUCUACCAUUACAGCUCCGCAUUUCAAAUGUGUUUUUUUAAAGCUUCCCCAUCUGCGAAGCUGGACGAAACCAUGAUCAGUUUCUUUUGGAUUCUCUUCUUCUAUCUCCGGCCAAUAACUCUAACCGUUAAGCGAAUGCCGCACAUCCUGACAACUUGCCACCGUCAAAUGCAAGUGUUGAAGCACGAAAGAGAGCUGUGCAUUAAUGGGAAACUCUUACUUUACAAAGAUCAUCAUAGAAGACUUUUCCAUGUCAUCAUCUCCACGGUGUCUCAAAUAGCGUUUCUGACGUGGCUAACGUUGAGUCUACCCUACGUCAUUCAACUGUUCUCUUUGGUAGCUGGAUUAAACUCUGCCAUUCGUUUGGAGGAAAUGUCGCCAUGGAACGCCGCGGUUUUUACGUAUAUCUAUCGAUCUCUGCCUUUAGUAAAUUGUUUUCUAUUUGUAUCGGCGUUUAUUGUCUAUUUUUCGCUGACGUUAAAAUAUUGAUAUU